AUUGAACGCUGGCGGCAGGCCUAACACAUGCAAGUCGCAAGAGUGGCGGACGGGUGAGUAAUGUCUGGGAAACUGCCUGAUGGAGGGGGAUAACUACUGGAAACGGUAGCUAAUACCGCAUACCAUCGGAUGUGCCCAGAUGGGAUUAGCUAGUAGGUGGGGUAAAGGCUCACCUAGACGACGAUCCCUAGCUGGUAGGAGAGGAUGACCAGCCACACUGGAACUGAGACAUGUUCCAGAGUCCUACGGGAGGCAGCAGUGGGGAGUAUUGCACAAUGGGCGCAGUCCUGAUGCAGCUAUGCCGCGUGUAUGAAGAAGGCCUUCGGGUUGUAAAGUACUUUCAGCGGGGAGGCGUUACCCGCAGAAGAAGCACCGGCUAACUCCGUGCCAGCCGCCGCGGUAAUUC
rnacentral:rRNA from 1 species